rnacentral:rRNA from 1 species
UACGUAGGGUGCAAGCGUUGUCCGGAAUUAUUGGGCAUAAAGAGCUCGUAGGCGGUUUGUCGCGUCUGCUGUGAAAACCCGAGGCUCAACCUCGGGCCUGCAGUCGAUACGGGCAAACUAGAGUACUGCAGGGGAGACUGGAAUUCCUGGUGUAGCGGUGAAAUGCGCAGAUAUCAGGGAGGAACACCGGUGGGCGAAGGCGGGGUCUCUGGGCAGUAACUGACGCUGGAGGAGCGAAAGCGUGGGGAGCGAACAGG